GAUGGGAUCAGACUUCUCUUUAUCAUCAGGAACAUGUUUUCCACUAAGGAAUGGGAGGGGAUGCAGCUACUCCAAAUUGCAAAUGUCCUAGAAUCAGAACUUACCAGCCAAUUCUGUCAACGUAGCAGAAGGUGGAAAAGAGUACAAUUUAGUCUUCCAUAGAAAUAUUGACUCUGUUGUGCUCACAACACUGCUCAUGCUUUAUGGUACUGUAUAAUCGGAAAGAGACAGACAAAUCAAAGAUGUACAGCAGAAAAAGCAAACUAGCAAUGACUGCUUCAAUCAGCCCUGGUACGAGUGCUGCUGACCCUUCUCCUGCUGCAAGCAGGAAGAUCUUGCAUAAGUACAGAGUGCCUGAGCCAGCAAUCUGCACGGUAACCAACCUUCAGCUCCAGUGAACAGGUACUGCUUUUAUACUCGAGAUUUUUCAACUGUGGUUUCUCUCUCCACUUGAAAUUAUUUUGAUCAAGAAUGCCUGUUUAAAAAAAAACACAAACAUUCCCA
rnacentral:lncRNA from 1 species